rnacentral:misc_RNA from 1 species
UCGAGAGCAAGCACCAAAGCCAUAGCGAAAGCCCCAUCAAAACCAGGGUUUAAAGAAAGGGAAAAAACAUCUUUUCCAAGCAAGACAUUAGUCGAAGCAUCAACUUUCCUUUUAAUCGUAGCCACAGGCUCUUUCUUAAAAUUCAAAACUGUGCAUAAACGCUGCCCAAAGGAACCCUCGAUUUGAUACUCCUCUCCGGGAUUUCCGUACAUUUCCACCGUAAAACUCGAACGCCCGAUGAUCGACGACCG